rnacentral:rRNA from 1 species
ACGAACGCUGGCGGCAUGCCUCACACAUGCAAGUCGAACGAGACCUUCGGGUCUAGUGGCGCACGGGUGCGUAACGCGUGGGAACCUGCCCUUAGGUUCGGAAUAACUCCCCGAAAGGGGUGCUAAUACCGGAUAAUGUCUUCGGACCAAAGAUUUAUCGCCUUUGGAUGGGCCCGCGUUGGAUUAGCUAGUUGGUAGGGUAAAAGCCUACCAAGGCGACGAUCCAUAGCUGGUCUGAGAGGAUGAUCAGCCACACUGGGACUGAGACACGGCCCAGACUCCUACGGGAGGCAGCAGUGGGGAAUAUUGGACAAUGGGCGAAAGCCUGAUCCAGCAAUGCCGCGUGAGUGAUGAAGGCCUUAGGGUUGUAAAGCUCUUUUACCCGGGAUGAUAAUGACAGUACCGGGAGAAUAAGCUCCGGCUAACUCCGU